rnacentral:rRNA from 1 species
GACGAACGCUGGCGGCGUGCUUAACACAUGCAAGUCGAACGGAAAGGCCCUGCUUUUGUGGGGUGCUCGAGUGGCGAACGGGUGAGUAACACGUGAGUAACCUGCCCUUGACUUUGGGAUAACUUCAGGAAACUGGGGCUAAUACCGGAUAGGAGCUCCUGCUGCACGGUGGGGGUUGGAAAGUUUCGGCGGUUGGGGAUGGACUCGCGGCUUAUCAGCUUGUUGGUGGGGUAGUGGCUUACCAAGGCUUUGACGGGUAGCCGGCCUGAGAGGGUGACCGGCCACAUUGGGACUGAGAUACGGCCCAGACUCCUACGGGAGGCAGCAGUGGGGAAUAUUGCACAAUGGGCGGAAGCCUGAUGCAGCAACGCCGCGUGCGGGAUGACGGCCUUCGGGUUGUAAACCGCUUUCGCCUGUGACGAAGCGUGAGUGACGGUAAUGGGUAAAGAAGCACCGGCUAACUACGUGCCAGCAGCCGCGGUGAUACGUAGGGUGCGAGCGUUGUCCGGAUUUAUUGGGCGUAAAGGGCUCGUAGGUGGUUGAUCGCGUCGGAAGUGUAAUCUUGGGGCUUAACCCUGAGCGUGCUUUCGAUACGGGUUGACUUGAGGAAGGUAGGGGAGAAUGGAAUUCCUGGUGGAGCGGUGGAAUGCGCAGAUAUCAGGAGGAACACCAGUGGCGAAGGCGGUUCUCUGGGCCUUUCCUGACGCUGAGGAGCGAAAGCGUGGGGAGCGAACAGGCUUAGAUACCCUGGUAGUCCACGCUGUAAACGGUGGGUACUAGGUGUGGGGUCCACUCCACGGGUUCCGUGCCGUAGCUAACGCUUUAAGUACCCCGCCUGGGGAGUACGGCCGCAAGGCUAAAACUCAAAGGAAUUGACGGGGCCCCGCACAAGCGGCGGAGCAUGCGGAUUAAUUCGAUGCAACGCGUAGAACCUUACCUGGGUUUGACAUGGAUCGGGAGUGCUCAGAGAUGGGUGUGCCUCUUUUGGGGUCGGUUCACAGGUGGUGCAUGGCUGUCGUCAGCUCGUGUCGUGAGAUGUUGGGUUAAGUCCCGCAACGAGCGCAACCCUUGUUUACUGUUGCCAGCACGUUAUGGUGGGGACUCAGUGGAGACCGCCGGGGUCAACUCGGAGGAAGGUGGGGAUGACGUCAAGUCAUCAUGCCCCUUAUGUCCAGGGCUUCACGCAUGCUACAAUGGCUGGUACAGAGAGUGGCGAGCCUGUGAGGGUGAGCGAAUCUCGGAAAGCCGGUCUCAGUUCGGAUUGGGGUCUGCAACUCGACCUCAUGAAGUCGGAGUCGCUAGUAAUCGCAGAUCAGCAACGCUGCGGUGAAUACGUUCCCGGG